rnacentral:misc_RNA from 1 species
GUACAUUAGUGCUUGCGCACGACAAACGUUUUCAUUACAUUCGAGUGUGUGUAAAAAUCCUCUGCCAGCCGAGGCGAGCAAGAGGCCAAAGGUUCACAAGGGUAGUAGUGGAUGAAAGCCACCAACGUGCACUUGCUCGCGAGAGCCAGCACCAAAGGUAACCAUUCGCAAUCAUUAAUGAUCCUUCCGCAGGUUCACCUACGGAAA